GAUUUAGCUCAGUGGUACAGCACCUGCCUGGCAAGUAUGAGGUCCUGAGUUCCAUUCUCAGUAUC
rnacentral:tRNA from 1 species